GGGGUUGCAUGGAGAGUCUGACCGAGCACGCCGCGUGAGUGAAGAAGGUUUUCGGAUCGUAAAACUCUGUUGUUAGAGAAGAACAAGGACGUUAGUAACUGAACGUCCCCUGACGGUAUCUAACCAGAAAGCCACGGCUAACUACGUGCCAGCAGCCGCGGUAAUCAAGC
rnacentral:rRNA from 1 species